AGAACGAACGCUGGCGGCAUGCCUAACACAUGCAAGUCGAACGAGACCUUCGGGUCUAGUGGCGCACGGGUGCGUAACGCGUGGGAAUCUGCCCUUAGGUACGGAAUAACUCAGGGAAACUUGUGCUAAUACCGUAUGAUGUCGAGAGACCAAAGAUUUAUCGCCUAGGGAUGAGCCCGCGUAGGAUUAGCUAGUUGGUGGGGUAAAGGCCUACCAAGGCUACGAUCCUUAGCUGGUCUGAGAGGAUGAUCAGCCACACUGGGACUGAGACACGGCCCAGACUCCUACGGGAGGCAGCAGUGGGGAAUAUUGGACAAUGGGCGAAAAGCCUGAUCCAGCAAUGCCGCGUGAGUGAAGAAGGCCUUCGGGUUGUAAAGCUCUUUUACCCGGGAAGAUAAUGACUGUACCGGGAGAAUAAGCUCCGGCUAACUCCGCGCCAGCAGCCGC
rnacentral:rRNA from 1 species